rnacentral:rRNA from 1 species
GACGAACGCUGGCGGCGUGCUUAACACAUGCAAGUCGAACGAAGUGGCGAACGGGUGAGUAACGCGUAAUCAACCUGCCCUUCAGUGGGGGACACCAGUUGGAAACGACGGCUCAUACCGCAUACCGAAGGCGGGGAUUGCGUCUGAUUGGCUAGUGGGAGGGGUAACGGCCCACCAAGGCGCUGAUCAGUAGCCGGUCUGAGAGGAUGAGCGGACACAAUUGAACUGAGACACGGCCCAGAAUCCUAAGGGAGGCAGCAGGGGGGAAUCUUCCGCAAUGGACGAAAGGCUGACGGAGCAAAGCCGCGUGAGUGAUGACGGCCUGCGGGUGGUAAAGCUCUGUUAAUCGGGACGCGGUACCGGAAUAGAAAGCCAGGGCUAACUACGUGCCAGCAGCCGCGGUAAUUC